GAUGAACGCUGGCGGCGUGCCUAAUACAUGCAAGUCGAGCGAACAGACGAGGAGCUUGCUCCUCUGACGUUAGCGGCGGACGGGUGAGUAACACGUGGAUAACCUACCUAUAAGACUGGGAUAACUUCGGGAAACCGGAGCUAAUACCGGAUAAUAUAUUGAACCGCAUGGUUCAAUAGUGAAAGACGGUUUUGCUGUCACUUAUAGAUGGAUCCGCGCCGCAUUAGCUAGUUGGUAAGGUAACGGCUUACCAUGGCAACGAUGCGUAGCCGACCUGAGAGGGUGAUCGGCCGCACUGGAACUGAGACACGGUCCAGACUCCUACGGGAGGCAGCAGUAGGGAAUCUUCCGCAAUGGGCGAAAGCUUGACGGAGCAACGCCGCGUGAGUGAUGAAGGUCUUCGGAUCGUAAAACUCUGUUAUUAGGGAAGAACAAAUGUGUAAGUAACUAUGCACGUCUUGACGGUACCUAAUCAGAAAGCCACGGCUAACUACGUG
rnacentral:rRNA from 1 species